GAUGGCCUACAAGGAGAAUGUGAACCCCGGCUUGUACGGCCUGCUUAAGAAUGGGGCCCCCGCCCCCCCCGCAGCCCAGCGGGUGCCCCUCAAGGACCCCGCCACCACGGGGACCCCCUCCGAUGCCCUCCUGCUGCAGAGAGCCACCGGCCGGCCUCCCCCCGUGCCAGCAGCAGGACGCGUCCCUGUGGAGCCCAACACCUUGGUGGCCCCCCAGUACCUGCUGGCAGAAGCCAGCUUCGGUUUCAGAAGAGUACAGGCCAUGGAGCUUGGAUCAGUUCACAGGGGAGAGAAGACAGCGCAGGGAGAGGACAGCCAAGUCCAGCAGGAGCUGAGGCCUUUCUGA
rnacentral:lncRNA from 1 species